UGAGAACAAGCUGUUUAGCAUUUCAUUUACACUGAAAAGGUGCUUGUAUAAAAUUACAAGGUUCUUAA
rnacentral:tRNA from 1 species